rnacentral:rRNA from 1 species
GUGCCAGCCGCUGCGGUAAUACGUAGGGAGCGAGCGUUGUCCGGAAUUACUGGGUGUAAAGGGAGCGUAGGCGGGAUGGCAAGUCAGGUGUGAAAACUAUGGGCUCAACUCAUAGAUUGCACUUGAAACUGCUGUUCUUGAGUGAAGUAGAGGUAAGCGGAAUUCCUAGUGUAGCGGUGAAAUGCGUAGAUAUUAGGAGGAACAUCGGUGGCGAAGGCGGCUUACUGGGCUUUUACUGACGCUGAGGCUCGAAAGCGUGGGAGCAAACAGGAUUAGAUACCCUGGUAGUCCACGCUGUAAACGAUGAUUACUAGGUGUGGGGGACUGACCCUUCGUGCCGCAGUUAACACAAUAAGUAAUCCACCUGGGAGUACGGCCGCAAGGCUGAAACUC